GCGAACACAUGGGCCACCACGAGACAGACUCCCCGAAAAACCUCUAAACCCCUCUCCGAUCCGCGGUGCGAAGGCAGUCAUCAAAGCCGCCACUCCCAGUUUCGAUCAUCUCCCUCCCUUGCCCCGAUCCCCUUCUAGCAAGUUGCCAUGGCGACUCGGCGCAAACCCUAGGCAGAUCUAGAGGACUACAGCGAGGACAUGCUUAAUCAAGGUCAGUUAUUCCCUUGAAAUCGGGUCAUACCCCCCCUCCCCCCCUCCCCCUCAAGAUUUAUGCCAUCAGUUAUUUGUGUUGUUGCCCACAGAUCUGUAACCUUUUCGAACCGUAGUUGUCAACUAUGGGUGAAUUUGCCAUGCGCACUGUUUUUCUCCUGAAUUUUUUGAUGCACAUCAUGUCAAAACCUUGGAGUAUCUAAAAUGAACUACUCCCUCCAUUCUUAAAUAUAAGUCUUUUUAGACACUUCAAAUGGACUACAACAUAUGGAUGUAUGUAGACAUAUUUUAGAGUGUAGAUUCACUCAUUUUGCUCUAUAUGUAGUCACUUGUUAGACUCUCUAAAAAGACUUAUAUUUGGGAACGGAGGGAGUAGUUGCCACGAAAAUGAGUAGUUCACUUGACAUUUGAGGGGAAAGGGGGAGAACAACAACGCAAGAUUGAUCAGAUAGAAAUGAAAUUCCCUUUAUGAAACAAAUAAAAAUUGUCAUCCCUAUUGGCCAUCCAAAAAAAUCCGAUCUGCCUAAAUUAGAGAUUUCAAAUGAGUCCUAGCUAUUGCACAUCUAAGUGGCUCAAAUCAAACAUAAAAAGAAAAAGGAAAAGGAAAAAGAACAAGCAAAUUUCCGCACAAAUCUUCAUGUAAAUCAAUGACAUAGGACUUAGAUGUGCAAUACUUAGGGUACAUCUGAUGUGCUUUAGCAAAACCGAUUUCAAAUAACCUCAAUUUGCCUGGGUAUAUGCUUUUCUUCUUCUUUCCAAGAGCAUGCAUGAAGCAUGAGCUCUACGUGUUUAUAUGUUAAGAUAGAAAGCAAUGCUUAUCUGAAUGUGCUUUUCAUAUCCACAAUGGAAAUAGAUGUUCUAUACUUCUCUGUUUAGUGCACAUAAAAUAUUUGAAAAGUCAAAUUUACCAAACUUUGACUACAUUUAUAGAGGAAAAUAGCAAUAUCUAUAAUAAUAAAUAAAUAUCAUUAGAUACAUCAUUAAACAUAUAUUUAUAGUAGGACUAGUAUUUAUUUGGUAUUAUUUCUGUUGAUAUGUUUCUCGCUAAGGCUAGUCAUAGUGGGAGUAACUUAGCUAGUAACAUAGCGCACUUCAAGAAAAGUUUGCUUACGUGGCAUAUAGUUAAUGAGAAGUGGUAACAUAAUAUGUUACUGUAACAUAGCGCUUCCCAAGACAAGAUGAGUCUACAAACUAAUAAAUGAAGUCCUCUAUGACACUAGUACUAUGUUACUUUGCACUAUAAAGAUAGUAACUUAGACUAGUGUCAUAUGCAUGACACUAGUAUAAGUUACUCCCCACUAUGACCAGCCUAAACUUGGUCAAACUAAACAAUGUUUUACUUCCAAAAAAAUAUGCACACUACACGAGGAAUAGAAGGAGUACAGUCAAUAUCUAUCUUUAUUGUGUUUUUUUCUUUAUUAACAAUUUAAAAUGUUUUGCGUCAACUUAAGUAUCUGUCUUGCCUUAGUUAGAAUGCACAUCAAGUAUCCCCGCAAAAAAGAAAAAAAGGAAGCACAUCAAGUAGUAAUGUACAACCAUCAGCCAGAGCUUCAGGCUUGGUUAGGUUGUUCAAUAAUCAUCUGAAUCUGAAUCUGCACUCCAAGAUAGUUGUCAUCUAAACCUUUGUUCAAUAAUCAUGUGAAAACCUCUGUGCAAUUCCAUCUAAUGUAUUCAUUCCUCCUUGGACCGACCUUCACUACGCAUGAACCAGCAAGAAUGCCAAUGCUGUCCAAACGGUUAUGAAUGGAAUGGUAAGUGACGCCGACAGUCGAUGAGAAGCGUUCGGCAGCCAUGGGUACGCAUC
rnacentral:lncRNA from 1 species